ensembl:lncRNA
UUCGAGGCCAAAUCCUUUAAUACUUUAACACUGACUUCCAUGUUACGGAUCUACAUAAAACAAAUAUAUAUAUAUAUAUAUCAUUGACAAUUCCACAUCAUACAAUAUAAGUCAAUAAACGACACAAGUCGUUCAGCAUGAAGUCCAUAGUACCUUCAUGGCUAUUAUAAAGUAUAAUAAGGUAUUUUAACACGUAACAAAGUAUAAUAAGGUAUUUAACACAUCACAAAGAAUGUUAAGGUAUUUUGUUAUUUCAUUUAUUUUGCUGUUGCUUUUUUCCGUAGCGACUUACAAUGAGUGCCUUCAACCAUGAAGGUUCAAUAUCAACAGAAUCCACUUGUAGGGCUAGAUAUGAGACCUCAGGGUUCACUAUAGAAUCAAGACCUCAGGGUUCACUAUAGAAUCAAGACCUCAGGGUUCACUAUAUAAACAAUACCUCAGGGUUCACUAUAGAAACAAGACUUCAGGGUUCACUAUAGAAACAAGACGUCAGGGUUCACUAUAGAAAGAAGACUUCAGGGUUCACUGUAGAAACAAGACUUCAGGGUUCACUAUAGAAAGAAGACUUCAGGGUUCACUAUAGACACAAGACUUCAAGGUUCACUAAAGAAUCAAGACUUCAGGGUUCACUAUAUGAACAAGACCUCAGGGUUCACUAUAGAAUCAAGACUUCACACUACUACAUUAGGUAAUAGUAUUACUGCAGUAGUACUGUAGUAGUUGAUAGUAGUACUGCAAUAGGUAAAAGUAGUACUGCAGUAGUUCUGUAGUAGGUGAUAUUAGAACUGUAGUAGUACAGCAGUAUUAUUAUCACAUCUUCUCAUCCUGCUGCAUUCCACUGUUUGCCUCGGUCAAGUCUAACGAGGUACCCAGGCCUCCAGAGUUCUCAAGGUCUUUUGGGGUUUCAAGGUCUCUGGAGGUCUCAGGGUCUCUCCAGGUCUCCAGGACUCUGGGGGUCUCUAGUGGAGUCUCCAGGUCUCUGGGGGUCUCCAUGAGUCUUGGAUUCAUGGAUUCUCCAGGUCUCUGGAGAGACCUGGAGUAUUUGGGAGUCUCCAGGUCUCUUGAGGCCUGGAGCUCUUUGGGGCUCUCUAGGUAUUUGGAGAUGUCCAGGACUCUUAAGGUCUCCAGGUCUCUGGGGGUCUCUAGAUCUUUGGGGGACUCCAGGUCUUUGGGGCUCCGUAGGUAUUUGGGGAUCUCCAGGACUCUCCAGGUCUCCAGGUCUCUGGGGGUCUCUAGAUCUUUGGGGGACUCCAGAUCUUUGGGGCUCUCUAGGCAUUUGGGGAUAUCCAGGUCUCUCCAGGUCUCCAGGUCUCUGGGGGUCUCUAGAUCUUUUGGGGACUCCAGGUCUUUGGGGGGUCUCAAGGAUUCUUGGUGUCUCCAUGUCUCCCAGGGUCUCAAUGUAUCUUGGGGUCUCCUGGUGUCUGGGGUUCUCCAUUAGUCUUGGAUUCUCCAGGUCUCUGGAGGUCUCCAGGACUCUGGGGCUCUCAAGGACUCUGGGGGUCUCCAGUGAGGUUGUCAGGUCUCUUGAGGCCUGAAAUUCUUUGGGGCUAUCCAGGUCUUUGGGGGUCUCUGGGUCUUUGGGGGUCUCCAGGACUUUGUGGGGCUCCAGGCCCCUCGGGGUUUCCAGGUCUUUGGGGGUCUCCAGGAUUCCAGGGAUCUCCAGGUCUUUUGAGGCCUGGAACUCUUUUGGGCUCUCCGGGUCUCGGGGGGUCUCCAGGUCUUUAGCCCCCCCCCAGGCCCCCAGGGACCUGCGGGAGCUCCGGGUGCUGGCGGCUCUGGCGAGCCGUGUGAGGGUGUGUUGGUAGGGGGAGGGGAGGUAGACCAUGAGGAAGACCCCGUCGGCCGGGUCCUGCUCCUCCGAGCUGGCACUGGAGGUGCGCCAGCGCCGGCUGUUGCUGCGGCGGCAGGAAGAGAGCAGCUCGCGGCUCCUCUCCGGGUCUCUCAGGUCCUCCAGGGUCUCCAGGACCUCCAGGACCUCGGGGUCCUCCAGGUCCUCCAGGUCCUCCAGGGCGAUCACGUUGGCCAGAAGGCCCGGCUUCCUAACCCCGGCCCGCCGCCGCCGACAAGCCAGCAGCCCCAGCACCCCCCCCAGGAGGAGAAGCAAGGCCGCCGUCGCCGUGACCACCGAGACGACGGACAGCUUGCCGAGGCGGGACUCCCCCGGACUGGUCUG